UCCAGCAGCUGGGAGGCCAGAUGACAGAGAGGCUAGAGUCGGUGGUCCUGGGCCUCCCUAAGACAGAGAGCAUCUCUGCAGCCACCCAGUGGGGGAAGGAGUGUGUGAGGGCGGAGGUCUUUGCCCAGAGCUCCUGCACAUACUGGUACAAUGGAGCAUAUGGGAGUUGGAGUCUGGAUACCUGCAAAACAUUCCAGCUCCAUUCUGUGUGACCUCAGUUCUUAGCAAUUAUCCACAGCACUGCAAGGAGGUUAAAUAUGUAAGUUGUUAUUUUAUUAUUACCUUAAGAUAAAUUUUUGAGAAUAA